rnacentral:rRNA from 1 species
UACGUAGGGCGCAAGCGUUGUCCGGAAUUAUUGGGCGUAAAGAGCUCGUAGGCGGUCUGUCACGUCUGCCGUGAAAACCCGAGGCUUAACCUCGUGGCUUGCGGUGGAUACGGGCAGACUAGAGGUAGGUAGGGGAGAACGGAAUUCCCGGUGUAGCGGUGAAAUGCGCAGAUAUCAGGAGGAACACCGGUGGCGAAGGCGGGACUCUGGGCCGAUACUGACGCUGAGGAGCGAAAGCGUGGGGAGCAAACAGG